rnacentral:rRNA from 1 species
GAUGAACGCUGGCGGCGUGCCUAAUACAUGCAAGUCGAGCGAACAGACGAGGAGCUUGCUCCUCUGACGUUAGCGGCGGACGGGCGAGUAACACGUGGAUAACCUACCUAUAAGACUGGGAUAACUUCGGGAAACCGGAGCUAAUACCGGAUAAUAUAUUGAACCGCAUGGUUCAAUAGUGAAAGACGGUUUUGCUGUCACUUAUAGCUGGAUCCGCGCCGCAUUAGCUAGUUGGUAAGGUAACGGCUUACCAAGGCGACGAUGCGUAGCCGACCUGAGAGGGUGAUCGGCCACACUGGAACUGAGACACGGUCCAGACUCCUACGGGAGGCAGCAGUAGGGAAUCUUCCGCAAUGGGCGAAAGCCUGACGGAGCAACGCCGCGUGAGUGAUGAAGGUCUUCGGAUCGUAAAACUCUGUUAUUAGGGAAGAACAAAUGUGUAAGUAACUAUGCACGUCUUGACGGUACCUAAUCAGAAAGCCACGGCUAACUACGUG